UUCGCAAUGCCCGAAAGGGUGACGAAGCGACGCCGCGUGGGUGAGGAAGGCCUUCGGGUUGUAAAGCCCUGUCAGGAGUUAAGAAAUGUAGGUGUGCUAAUAUCGCAUUUACUUGACGAAGGCUCCAAAGGAAGUCACGGCUAACUCUGUGCCAGCAGCCGCGGUAAUACAGAGGUGGCAAGCGUUGUUCGGAAUUAUUGGGCGUAAAGAGCACGUAGGUGGGUUUGUAAGUCAGAUGUGAAAGCCUCCUGUUCAACGGGAGAAUUGCAUCUGAAACUACUGAUCUUGAGUAUAGGAGGGGAGAAUGGAACUUCUGGUGGAGCGGUGAAAUGCGUAGAUAUCAGAAGGAACGCCGGCGGCGAAAGCGAUUCUCUGGCCUAUUACUGACACUCAGUGUGCGAAAGCUAGGGGAGCAAACGGGAUUAGAUACCCCGGUAGUCCUAGCCGUAAACGAUGGGCACUAAGUAGAGGGGUUUU
rnacentral:rRNA from 1 species